GAUGAACGCUGGCGGCGUGCUUAACACAUGCAAGUCGAACGAUGAAGCCCAGCUUGCUGGGUGGAGUAGUAGCGAACGGGUGAGUAACACGUGUGUAACCUGCCCUUGACUCUGGGAUAAGCCUUGGAAACUGGGUCUAAUACUGGAUAUGACUUCUCAUCGCUUGGUGGGGGGUGGAAAGAUUUAUUGGUCUUGGAUGGACUCGCGGCCUAUCAGCUUGUUGGUGAGGUGAUGGCUCACCAAGGCGACGACGGGUAGCCGGCCUGAGAGGGUGACCGGCCACACUGGGACUGAAACACGGCCCAGACUCCUACGGGAGGCAGCAGUGGGGAAGAUUGCACAAUGGGAGCAAGCAAGAUGCAGCGACGCCGCGUGAGGGAUAACGGCCUUCGGGUAGUAAUCCUCUUUCAGUUGGGAAGAAGCGAGAGUGACGGUACCUGCAGAAGAAGCGCCGGCUAACUACGUG
rnacentral:rRNA from 1 species